CCCAAGCAUCGGAGAAGAAUCCCAUCAAUAGUUCGGUAAUACAAUUCAUCUUCGAGGAGCACAUACUUGGUGGCUCGAAACCGAACUCGUCUUUCGACUUUCUUAGAUGGAUCUUUCAAAUAAUCAAUGAUUUCUUUUCUCCAAUCAUCGGCACCAAUUGCCGAUAUUGCAUUAAUCAUAGGCUGAUAUCCUGAGGCAUGCUGAGCCAACCGAUUGGCCUCUUCAUUAUGCAAUCGAGGAACAUGCUCUAAUUGGAAAUCUUUAAAUUCCUUUAACAAUCGCAUACUCCUAUUGUAAUAAGUUACGAGGACUUCCACUACACCACAACCUCAGAACAACGUUGGACGGUCCGUUGGUAUAAGACGUUUUACCGUCAGACAGGCCAUCGAUGUAGAGAUAUACCGUCAGAUCAAGUUAGUCGCUAUAAGCCCUGUCGGUAAAAAGUUUUACCGACAGACUACCCUUUCAACGACAGACAGUCUGACGGAGAGAAAAUCACCGACAGACAGUCCGAUGGAGAGAAAAUCACUGACAGACAGUGUGUUACCAGUUAUGCCAACACACCGUGCGAUGUUAUAAAUAUAUUUACCGACAGAUUGUCCAACAGAAAGUUUAAAACUAAAUAAAAAAAAUAAAAUGCAGCGUAGCAGAAUCAUAACAUACUAAAUAUGCAUUUGACUAAUCAAAGAUCCAUCAUAUCACAUUCAUCUCCAUAGAUUUAGUCCCCAAAUACAUGGAUCUCCAUAUGACAUGCAUAUAGUUGUCUUGGACAUUUGCACCAAGUCAUAAAUUAAGCACAAGUACAUACAUGGCAGC
rnacentral:lncRNA from 1 species